rnacentral:rRNA from 1 species
AUUGAACGCUAGCGGGAUGCUUUACACAUGCAAGUCGAACGAGCGGCGGACGGGUGAGUAAUAUAUCGGAACCUGCCUGGUGGCGGGGGAUAACUACUCGAAACAGUGGCUAAUACCGCAUACUAUCCGAUCGGCCCAGAUUGGAUUAGCUAGUUGGUGGGGUAAAGGCUCACCAAGGCAACGAUCCGUCGCUGGUUUGAGAGGACGACCAGCCACACUGGGACUGAGACACGGCCCAGACUCCUACGGGAGGCAGCAGUGGGGAAUUUUGGACAAUGGGCGAAACCCUGAUCCAGCCAUCCCGCGUGUAUGAGAAGGCCUUCGGGUUGUAAAGUACUUUUGGCAGAGAAGCGGUAUCUGCAGAAUAAGCACCGGCUAACUACGUGCCAGCAGCCGCGGUAAUAC